rnacentral:rRNA from 1 species
AACGAACGCUGGCGGCAGGCCUAACACAUGCAAGUCGAGCGAAGCCUUCGGGCUUAGCGGCGGACGGGUGAGUAACGCGUGGGAACGUGCCCUUUGGUACGGAAUAGCCCCGGGAAACUGGGAGUAACACCGUAUGUGGUCGAGAGACGAAAGAUUUAUCGCCAAAGGAUCGGCGCGCGUUGGAUUAGGUAGUUGGUGGGGUAAUGGCCUACCAAGCCGACGAUCCAUAGCUGGUUUGAGAGGAUGAUCAGUCAAACUGGGACUGAGACACGGCCCAGACUCCUACGGGAGGCAGCAGUGGGGAAUCUUAGACAAUGGGGGAAACCCUGAUCUAGCCAUGCCGCGUGAUCGAUGAAGGCCUUAGGGUUGUAAAGAUCUUUCAGUGGGGAAGAUAAUGACUGUACCCACAGAAGAAGCCCCGGCUAACUCCGUGCCAGCAGCCGCAGUAAAAC